UACGUAGGGUGCGAGCGGUAAUCGGAAUUACUGGGCGUAAAGCGUGCGCAGGCGGCUUUGUAAGACAGAUGUGAAAUCCCCGGGCUUAACCUGGGAACUGCGUUUGUGACUGCAAGGCUGGAGUGCGGCAGAGGGGGGUGGAAUUCCACGUGUAGCAGUGAAAUGCGUAGAGAUGUGGAGGAACACCGAUGGCGAAGGCAGCCCCCUGGGUUGACACUGACGCUCAUGCACGAAAGCGUGGGGAGCAAACAGG
rnacentral:rRNA from 1 species